rnacentral:lncRNA from 1 species
CCUUCUACGUCUUUGGUAAUGACUUUCUGGUUUUACUUUUCUCCAUUUCAUUAACUAUUUUCUAGUUCUUCUUCUUGGCCAAGGUAAAUUUCAAUCUUCAUUUUCAUUCUUCUUUAUGGAUGCCAAAACAUUGUUUUGCAGAUUCAAGGUAUGUCCUUCUUUCUUUCCUUUUCUUAUUUGUUAUCCUGUUACUUAUCAC